rnacentral:lncRNA from 1 species
CUUUGGUUUAGUGAAACUAUAAUGGCUUUAGACAGUGGCAAGGAAGUAACAGUGGGGAAACGUCCUGAAGGGGCUGUGUGACUAGGGGCUAUGUGACUAGGGGGCUGUGUGACUAGGGGCUGCGUAACUAGGGGGCUGUGUGACUGGGAAGCAGGGCUGCUGCAUUAGAGGUGAGACAGAUGGGAAGCCCGGGAGAAGAGUAGGGGCUGCUUCAGCAGUACAAACAUGUGAAACAUGGUAACCAGAUGUCUCCCUCAAAAUUACACUCAACCCUGGGAAAAAGGGAAACCCCAAAUCAACUGACAUUAAGUUUCUGC